rnacentral:rRNA from 1 species
CAGCCGCCGCGGUAAUACGGAGGGUGCAAGCGUUGUUCGGAAUUAUUGGGCGUAAAGCGCGUGUAGGCGGUUUGUUAAGUCUGGUGUGAAAGCCCUGGGCUCAACCUGGGAAGUGCAUUGGAUACUGGCAAACUUGAGUACGUGAGAGGAUAGUGGAAUUUCGAGUGUAGGGGUGAAAUCCGUAGAUAUUCGAAGGAACACCGGUGGCGAAGGCGGCUAUCUGGACCGAUACUGACGCUGAGACGCGAAAGCGUGGGGAGCAAACAGGAUUAGAUACCCUGGUAGUCCACGCCGUAAACGAUGGGCACUAGGUGUUGCGGGUAUUGACCCCUGCAGUGCCGAAGCUAACGCAUUAAGUGCCCCGCCUGGGGAGUACGGUCGCAAGACUAAAACUCAAAGGAAUUGACGG